GAAGCACAAUGCUCAUCCCCACGAGGCACGAUGGCACGGCCGGUCGGCGGCCGAGGAGUACGAUGUGCCCCCACAAGAGGAGCCGCUGAGCUUGGCGGUGGGGGAGAGGGUGGACGAGCUGCCGCGGCGCGAGAACCGGGCGCUGCAGUGCUCGACGGGGUGGAGGCCGCCGCCCGCCCCGAGAGACGCCGGCGGGGACGAGUGGACAGUCGACAGGGAUGAUAGGAGUGGUUGGCGGAUUCCUUCUGUUCCGGUUUCAGGAGCACUGCUUCUGCUACGUUUCAGAUUUGAUAUAUGCAUACAACAUUCAUCUUAUAUGCUCCCCCGGUGAGGGCGUGAGCGGCAACGCGCACCCAACGCGGAGUGGCUGAGCUCGGCGGUGGGGGAGAAGGUGAACGUACGAACUGCUGCUGCUGCUGCGGCUGAGAGGGAAUGAAUGAAUUAAUUGGGGCAGAGGUGGCAGCACAAACGCACACUAGUGCAUCCAAUGUUAUGGGUCAAGAAAGGAGUGGGUUGUAAUGAAUGAAGGUGGAGUAGGAUCUCGUCCUCUGUUGUCCGGCUUAUGAUUGUAGGAGUGUCCUUUGAUUCCCCAUGUCUACUCCAUUCCACCUGCAUGUGAAUCAUGAUUGUAGAA